rnacentral:rRNA from 1 species
UACGGAGGGGGCUAGCGUUGUUCGGAAUUACUGGGCGUAAAGCGCACGUAGGCGGCUUUGCAAGUUAGAGGUGAAAGCCCGGGGCUCAACUCCGGAAUUGCAUUUAAAACUGCAUCGCUAGAAUUGUGGAGAGGUAAGUGGAAUUCCGAGUGUAGAGGUGAAAUUCGUAGAUAUUCGGAAGAACACCAGUGGCGAAGGCGACUUACUGGACAGAUAUUGACGCUGAGGUGCGAAAGCGUGGGGAGCAAACAGG